AGCGAACGCUGGCGGCAGGCCUAACACAUGCAAGUCGAACGAAGUCUUCGGACUUAGUGGCGGACGGGUGAGUAACACGUGGGAACGUACCUUUUGGUUCGGAACAACUCAGGGAAACUUGAGCUAAUACCGGAUGAGCCCUUAGGGGGAAAGAUUUAUCGCCGAAAGAGCGGCCCGCGUUAGAUUAGCUAGUUGGUGAGGUAAAGGCUCACCAAGGCUACGAUCUAUAGCUGGUCUGAGAGGAUGAUCAGCCACACUGGGACUGAGACACGGCCCAGACUCCUACGGGAGGCAGCAGUGGGGAAUCUUGCGCAAUAGGCGAAAGCCUGACGUAGCCAUGCCGCGUUAAUGAUGAAGGUCUUAGGAUUGUAAAAUUCUUUUACCAGGGACGAUAAUGACGGUACCUGGAGAAAAAGCCCCGGCUAACUUCGUGCCAGCCGCCGCGGUAAUAC
rnacentral:rRNA from 1 species